UACAGAGGUCUCAAGCGUUGUUCGGAUUCAUUGGGCGUAAAGGGUGUGUAGGUGGCGCGCUAAGUCGGGUGUGAAAUUUCGGAGCUUAACUCCGAAACUGCAUUCGAUACUGGCGUGCUUGAGGACUGGAGAGGAGACUGGAAUUCAUGGUGUAGCAGUGAAAUGCGUAGAGAUCAUGAGGAAGAUCGAGUGGCGAAGGCGGGUCUCUGGACAGUUCCUGACACUGAGACACGAAGGCCAGGGGAGCAAACGGG
rnacentral:rRNA from 1 species